CGGGUAAAGCCCACCAAGGCGACGAUCAGUAGCCGGCCUGAGAGGGUGAACGGCCACAUUGGGACUGAGACACGGCCCAAACUCCUACGGAAGGCAGCAG
rnacentral:rRNA from 1 species